rnacentral:rRNA from 1 species
UACGUAGGGACCAAGCGUUGUUCGGAAUUACUGGGCGUAAAGGGCUCGUAGGCGGCCAACUAAGUCGGAUGUGAAAUCCCCAGGCUCAACCUGGGAACUGCAUCCGAUACUGGAUGGCUUGAAUUCGGGAGAGGGAUGCAGAAUUCCAGGUGUAGCGGUGAAAUGCGUAGAUAUCUGGAGGAACACCGGUGGCGAAGGCGGUUCUCUGGGCAUGAUCUGACGCUGAGGAGCGAAAGUGUGGGGAGCGAACAGG